UGUUUUUUUUAAACCCACGAUAAGCCCCGGAAACUUAUUCGUGAUUAGAAUAAAUAGAAA
rfam:Bacillus ginsengihumi strain M2.11 NODE_17, whole genome shotgun sequence.